GUUAUAACUUAUCCCGCAUAGUUCCUUUAUUUUCGCCAUGCCGCACACGCAAGCUCGAAAAGAAGAAAGCAAUGUCUAAAGACUGUUUCUCUGUGCUGCAAUUUGCGGCACCGCGGUGGAAAGGUGGCAACAUGCAUACCGUUAUAACACUUGCUGAAGGAUGCAGACAACGCGCGAUGGAGAAUGGCGCAAAUCAGAAACCUGCGCAUUAGAAGGAAGGUUACCGUGGUUUCUUCUGACCCCUUCGCUCGCGACGACUUCGUUCUGCCCGCUUUUCCCAGCAAGAGGAAAGCUUCACAUCUUGGUGGGAAAAUGUCGCACACCGAAUACGUAUUCACGGCCAAGAGCACGAGAAUUGACUGGAAGAAAACUGAUCUAGCAGGAAUGCCACUCCAUCGACUGUGUGGUUUGGUUGCACAAGACCUGCUGCAAAUCGUUUCAUGCAAACAAUGUCGCAUAAAGAAUAGUGUAUUUAUACAACUGCGGAAUAAACAUAUAAGGUGAGAAAGC